ensembl:lncRNA
CAGAUGUAAUGGCCAGCGGCGAAGCUCAUUUAGAAAAAUAUUGGUUUCUUUGAAUACUGCCGGAUAACAGGGAACAUGUGCAAUUUUCUCUGGGUAAAACGCUUGAGAGUGCAUGUCAGCAGCAGGACACAGAUCCUGGGCUCAGUCCAGAGCUGCUCUACACCGCCAGUCAUUUGUCAAAGGAUCUUUCUGCUCUCUCAGUCCACAGCCCAGACUUUCAGCCAGAAUGAAUGAUGGGAAUCACAGCAGAACUGGACCGCCGCUGAGACGUAUCUCAGCAAGUCUCGUCUGAGCCUGAUGACCCUCCUGUGACAUCAAAGUCAAUUAAGGCAUCUGUUUCAUUUUCAAAACCUGGUGUAUUUGGAUGCUGCAGUCUUGUGAGUGUGCGUUUGUGUUCUGUUGUUCAGAGAGAAUAUGUCAGCAACAGGAGGCUGUUCCUGGCCUUAGUCCAGAGAUGUUCAUGACUACCAGACUGAGGAAGACACCGUUUGUCAAAGGAUCUCAGGGGACAGUCCACUGGUCAAGCAGAACUUUAGCAAAAACACUCUUGCAUUUUACGACUCGAAAAUAAACUAAAAUAAACAUUCAUUCCAGUCAUAGUUACACACAAUAUGGUGUCAAGCUAUAUAGAUGUGUUUGUAUUUGAACAUAAUGGUUAAAGGAACAUUUUAUAACAUAUGGAUAUUGAAACAUGUAUUGAGAGAAUAUUAAAUGUUAAUUGUAUUUACACAUUCACAGCUUUAAUGUAAAAAUCUUUAAGAAUACUUUAUAUUAUAAAUGUAUUUGUAUAGUUACAUUUUACUUGUGAUGAAAUCUUUGAAAUGUGUUGAAUAUGGCAACAGAAAUAAUACUAAACAGGA